UCGAACGAUGAAGCCCUUCGGGGUGGAUUAGUGGCGAACGGGUGAGUAACACGUGGGCAAUCUGCCCUUCACUCUGGGACAAGCCCUGGAAACGGGGUCUAAUACCGGAUAACACUCUGUCCCGCAUGGGACGGGGUUAAAAGCUCCGGCGGUGAAGGAUGAGCCCGCGGCCUAUCAGCUUGUUGGUGGGGUAAUGGCCUACCAAGGCGACGACGGGUAGCCGGCCUGAGAGGGCGACCGGCCACACUGGGACUGAGACACGGCCCAGACUCCUACGGGAGGCAGCAGUGGGGAAUAUUGCACAAUGGGCGAAAGCCUGAUGCAGCGACGCCGCGUGAGGGAUGACGGCCUUCGGGUUGUAAACCUCUUUCAGCAGGGAAGAAGCGAAAGUGACGGUACCUGCAGAAGAAGCGCCGGCUAACUACGUGCCAGCAGCCGCGGUAAUACGUAGGGCGCAAGCGUUGUCCGGAAUUAUUGGGCGUAAAGAGCUCGUAGGCGGCUUGUCACGUCGGAUGUGAAAGCCCGGGGCUUAACCCCGGGUCUGCAUUCGAUACGGGCUAGCUAGAGUGUGGUAGGGGAGAUCGGAAUUCCUGGUGUAGCGGUGAAAUGCGCAGAUAUCAGGAGGAACACCGGUGGCGAAGGCGGAUCUCUGGGCCAUUACUGACGCUGAGGAGCGAAAGCGUGGGGAGCGAACAGGAUUAGAUACCCUGGUAGUCCACGCCGUAAACGUUGGGAACUAGGUGUUGGCGACAUUCCACGUCGUCGGUGCCGCAGCUAACGCAUUAAGUUCCCCGCCUGGGGAGUACGGCCGCAAGGCUAAAACUCAAAGGAAUUGACGGGGGCCCGCACAAGCAGCGGAGCAUGUGGCUUAAUUCGACGCAACGCGAAGAACCUUACCAAGGCUUGACAUAUACCGGAAAGCAUCAGAGAUGGUGCCCCCCUUGUGGUCGGUAUACAGGUGGUGCAUGGCUGUCAGUCAGCUCGUGUCGUGAGAUGUUGGGUUAAGUCCCGCAACGAGCGCAACCCUUGUUCUGUGUUGCCAGCAUGCCCUUCGGGGUGAUGGGGACUCACAGGAGACUGCCGGGGUCAACUCGGAGGAAGGUGGGGACGACGUCAAGUCAUCAUGCCCCUUAUGUCUUGGGCUGCACACGUGCUACAAUGGCCGGUACAAUGAGCUGCGAUGCCGCGAGGCGGAGCGAAUCUCAAAAAGCCGGUCUCAGUUCGGAUUGGGGUCUGCAACUCGACCCCAUGAAGUCGGAGUUGCUAGUAAUCGCAGAUCAGCAUUGCUGCGGUGAAUACGUUCCCGGGCCUUGUACACACCGCCCGUCACGUCACGAAAGUCGGUAACACCCGAAGCCGGUGGCCCAACCC
rnacentral:rRNA from 1 species